rnacentral:rRNA from 1 species
UGGGGAAUAUUGCACAAUGGGCGCAAGCCUGAUGCAGCGACGCCGCGUGCGGGAUGGAGGCCUUCGGGUUGUAAACCGCUUUUGUUCAAGGGCAAGGCACGGUCUUCGGCCGUAGUUGAGUGGAUUGUUCGAAAUAAGCACCGGCUAACUACGUGCC